rnacentral:rRNA from 1 species
UACAGAGGGGGCAAGCGUUGUUCGGAAUUACUGGGCGUAAAGGGCGCGUAGGCGGCCUGUUAAGUCGAACGUGAAAUCCCCGGGCUCAACCCGGGAACUGCGUCCGAUACUGGCAGGCUUGAAUCCGGGAGAGGGAUGCGGAAUUCCAGGUGUAGCGGUGAAAUGCGUAGAUAUCUGGAGGAACACCGGUGGCGAAGGCGGCAUCCUGGACCGGGAUUGACGCUGAGGCGCGAAAGCCAGGGGAGCAAACGGG